AUUUUGUAAACCGGAAGAAGUUACCGUGAAGGAGUUCACAUAUGAAGCAGAUAGCAACAGUACCCACUCGUCUUACUGUUUGAGUAUUUGAAGAGAGGAUUUCAGACAUUAUCAUCGACUACGAUCGUUUAAAUUCCUUGACCAGAGCAUAACCGGUUAUUUUCACCCAAGAGACCUUCUGCUGGACAAUCGUUUUGGCUGUAAAGAACCACGUGUCUCCCCAGUAAUCCACACUCCACUUCACAGAACCAAGAGUUUGAGUUCAAGACACUUGGCAGGUUACUCGCCGCAGCAGUUUCUGGAUGAAAGGUGUUGAGGUGUGUUGUACAUUCCAUUAACUUUGCACAGUUCAAUUAUUGUUUCAUUACUGAAUAUGAAAUCUCUGCAGUGAAAUUAAAGCCAUUAUGUUUGUUCCCCCAGCUCGUCAAGUACUAAGCUUUACACCCUCAUCAGCC